UAACGAAUAUUCCGCAAUGCGCGAAAGCGUGACGGAGCAAUGCCGCGUGAAGGAUGAAGCGCCUCGGCGUGUAAACUUCUGUCAGGAGCUAGGAACACCAUGACCAGCUCCAGAGGAAGGGCCGGCUAACUCUGUGCCAGCAGCCGCGGUAAUACAGAGGGCCCAAGCGUUACGCGGAAUCACUGGGCUUAAAGGGUGCGCAGGCGGACCGCCAAGUGCGUUGUGAAAUUCCAUGGCUCAACCGUGGAACUGCUUCGCAGACUGGCGGUCUUGAGCCGGGCAGGGGCCGUCGGAACGCUAGGUGGAGCGGUGAAAUGCGUAGAUAUCUAGCGGAACGCCAAAGGUGAAGACAGACGGCUGGGCCCGAGCUGACGCUCAGGCACGAAAGCGUGGGUAGCGAACGGGAUUAGAUACCCCUGUAGUCC
rnacentral:rRNA from 1 species